GAACUUGACCCUUCAUUUCCUUUCUCAAGAAGGGAAACUGAGGUUCCAAAUAGUAAGGCGAAUCAGGGGCAGAGAAGGCACUGGGGUUAGUUCCCGAGGGUAGAGCCUGGGUUUCCAGGGGGCCCUUCAGCGGAAUCAGAUUCGCAGCGAGGCUCAGGGUACCAAACCACUGUUUCCACACGGCGAGCGCUAAGCAGAGAUCAGAGGCACCCAACUUGGGGGCCGACCUGAGAGCCAUGAAGUCUCCUCCCUUCCCGCCUCAGCCCUCCCUCACCUGACCGGCGCGGCAGCAGCACCUCCAGCUCCGGGGCCGUGCCGCUAUUGAAAUCAUGGCAGGUCCAGAAACUGAUGCUCAAUUCCAGUUCACUGGUAUUAAAAAAUAUUUCAACUCUUACACUCUCACGGGAAGAAUGAAUUGUGUACUGGCUACAUAUGGAGGCAUUGCUUUGCUGGUCUUAUACUUCAAGUUAAGGUCUAAAAAAACUCCAGCUGUGAAAGCAACAUAAAUGGAUUAUAAAUUGUACCACAUCUGUUAAGUUCCCAUGCCUGGAGAAGCUAAUGUCAACUCAAUAUGUGGUAAUUCAAUUUGUACAAUAAAUUAUGAACCUGGAAAA